AGGUGGGAAAAAAAUGAAUUGCAUCCAUUUUGGAGCAAGACUAUAACAUAAAAUGUGGAAAAAGUGAAGCACUGUGAAUGCGUUC